GAUGAACGCUGGCGGCGUGCCUAAUACAUGCAAGUCGAGCGAAUGGAUUAAGAGCUUGCUCUUAUGAAGUUAGCGGCGGACGGGCGAGUAACACGUGGGUAACCUGCCCAUAAGACUGGGAUAACUCCGGGAAAACGGGGCUAAUACCGGAUAACAUUUUGAACCGCAUGGUUCGAAAUUGAAUGGCGGCUUCGGCUGUCACUUAUGGAUGGACCCGCGUCGCAUUAGCUAGUUGGUGAGGUAACGGCUCACCAAGGCAACGAUGCGUAGCCGACCUGAGAGGGUGAUCGGCCACACUGGGACUGAGACACGGCCCAGACACCGACGGGAGGCAGCAGUAGGGAAUCUUCCGCAAUGGACGAAAGUCUGACGGAGCAACGCCGCGUGAGUGAUGAGGGCUUUCGGGUCGUAAAACUCUGUUGUUAGGGAAGAACAAGUGCUAGUUGAAUAAGCUGGCACCUUGACGGUACCUAACCAGAAAGCCACGGCUAACUACGUGCCAGCCGCCGCAGUAA
rnacentral:rRNA from 1 species